rnacentral:lncRNA from 1 species
CUUAUGUUGCCUUCUCCUAUCCAUCUGUCCUUAUUGUGGAACUGGUGUUAACUGUCGGAGUUCUUAUAGGCAGAACCAUUGAUGGUGGAACCAAUGGAGCUGACAAUGUCAGGAUGACUCUGGUUUGAUGUGGUAAUUUUCUGAAACGGGUCAACAGGUAAGAAGGUCUUCUGAAUAUAGGUUGUGAGAUUUGGAUUGUUUGAUUUUCUCUUUGGAAGAUAUGUGGCGGCCAGUGUGGGUAGCAUGCACCCUCAAGCUACUGUCCAUUCGGCUAUAGGGAUUCACACAUGCUGAUAACACAUCGAAACAAUUGAAAUGGAGGUGACGCUAAUUAAAAAACGACUCAUGUUGGAUCAUAAAUGAUAUGCAGAUGAUCAUAAAUGAUAUGUAGAUGGUCCACAUGUUGUAUGACCAAAGUUCUCCCUUUGGUUUUGCUGUUUGAUAAUUUAUAAGUUGAAAGCAAUAUAUUACUAGCCCAUUUUGCUAUUACAAUUACAAACAUCACUCACCUCAUUCAAUUUCAUCACCUAUUUUUUUGUCAAAUGGCUAAAGCGUUUAUUUUACUUUCAUAUGAUAUGGCUCUUCCUUUGUUAUGAGGAGAUAUGAUAUAGCUCUACUUUAUGUUCCUGAGUUGAUCAUGAGUUUGUACGUACGCCUUGUUAAUAUGCAUACUCGUAGGUGCUACUAUUAAGUUUUGUGUGUAUCUACAUCAGGUUACUAACAUAUUAAUGCUUUUGUUUUCUCCAGCUGAAGAAGGGAUGCUGCAGUUGUUAGUUGUCGCCAAGUUUGUUGCAUCGCAUCCAUGUG